rnacentral:rRNA from 1 species
AACGUAGGAGGCGAGCGUUAUCCGGAUUUACUGGGUGUAAAGCGCGUGCAGGCGGUCGGUUAAGUUGGAUGUGAAAGCUCCCGGCUCAACUGGGAGAGGUCGUUCAAAACUGGCGGACUGGAGAAUGGUAGGGGAAGGUGGAAUUCCGGGUGUAGUGGUGAAAUGCGUAGAUAUCCGGAGGAACACCAGUGGCGAAGGCGGCCUUCUGGACCAUUUCUGACGCUCAGACGCGAAAGCGUGGGGAGCAAACAGG